AGUAUAUAUUUGUGAUAUAUGUAUGUAUGUAUAACCGAGCGUAACUACGUAUACUACGGAACCCCACUACUUUAUGAUGACGACGCGAAUGCUCGGUACGACCACCGGUUUCCACACGCGCGCAACACAAAGAAAUCAACCUAUGGAAAAUAUAAAAUCCAUGAACGGGAAAAAGAUGUUAUCUAUUUAUAAAUAGAGUACGAAUGCCAGAAAAUAUUUAGCUGUGGUCUAGAUGAUUGCCGUGGGACAGGUAGAUGUGGAUUGGAGGGAAUUCCAACAACUUUAGGCGUGAAGGUCGAAUCCGGCGGGCACAUUGUCAGUGUGUGGGUAUGGGUAAUUUUUGCAAUGUGUGUGUGGUAUGAUGUGUGGCUCGAAUUGUAAACGUGUGAGUUGAAUUCCCCUCUGAUCGCGAUGGCCUCCUGGCGAUACGUUUGAACGAGAUAGUGGCGGGAAAACAAAUACUGGGGAGAGAUUAGAUAAGGCAAACCGGUGUGAAGACUAGAUAAAAACGUACGUAAAGUGCAGUGAGUAUUGUAUGUUGUAUUACCAAUCCGAUAGAAUUAAAUGGAUCAGAGUGAAAAAUUAUUUUUUAUUUCAAAUAAAUAUUUUUAUAAGAGAGAAAACAAAUACUAAUGAUAAUAAUAAUGAUGAUAAUAAACAGGCGUAUAAAGCAGCGCUGAAAAAUUAGCUGAGAUGAAAAGCAGGCCGCGAAAUCUUUAUAAAUAAUUUGCCGAGACAAAUAGAGAAAUUGUAUGUACGAGGAACGCGACGUUAGUUGUAUUGGCUGAUUGGAUGUUGGGGCUUUGGUACAAUAGCUCUAAUUAACAUCAAUUACGAGCGUGUUUUAAGCCAGCAGAAGAGAGAACACGAGCGAUGUUGAUCUGGUGUUUAGUAAGAGAGCGACUGAGUCGGGGCUUGUUUAAACGUGACCACUGAAAGACCAAACCAGGACUCGUACGAGCUUUGUGAUGCUAUUAACCAGUGAUAUAUCGCAACUCAAAUGCACUUUGUUCAACCCCUGAUAGACGUCAAUUGGUUAAUCCUCUUUCACUUUAUUUUUUUAAUAUUGUUAUACGUCCCCUGUCCUCUUGUCUACAUCACAUACAUCAUGCAUAUGACAACAGCAAAGACUUCCGUACUUGUAUUCUGUUUGCUAUCCAGCCUCCUAUCCUCUCAUUCACAAGAAUAAAUAAUGAGGCGUUAAUUACAAGUCGUUUUCGCAGUCAAACGCGAUAAAAACAAAAAAAAAAAUAAAUAAAUGAGUGAAAAGGUAGCACGAGUGUCAGAGCCCUCAGAUGGAAAUUGACAAAAAAAAGUAAACAGAACGGAGUAGAAAAAAGAUAAAAAUAUGAGUAAAGAGUGUCCUUGGCCAGGUGUAACUACAUCGAGGAGGUUCAUCGCGGUGAUGGGUGCGCACCCUUGUUGACUGUCGACAGUUGUCGUUAAAGUCAGAGCUUUGUAGCCAUUCCGGGUCCCUCGCGGGGUAGGUUGCAGUCAAGUAUCAACAGCUUGGAGCGUGUACCCAUGGCAGCACGCCCGAUGCUGUAGAGUAAGGGGUGUCACCAUAGCAACAGACCGCGGUUUUUCCUCCUACACCUCCCACUCGGCCUUUCUCCAAUUCUCAACGUCCACCUUCUCAUGAACGCACACACUCAGACACAUACACACUCUUUAUUACUUUCUUUCUAUUUAGCUUUCUCUACUACUCCCUUACUCUUAGCUCUCCUCCUAUUUACUCUCUCGUAAAUUCUACUACAAUCGGCAUCCCUGUUUUCUCAUUCUCUAGUCUAGUGUGCAGUCACUACUACGAGGUAGUACGUCGUUC